UACGGGGGGGCAAGCGUUGUUCGGAAUUACUGGGCGUAAAGGGUUUGUAGGUGGCUUGCUAAGUCAGACGUGAAAUCCCUCAGCUUAACUGGGGAACUGCGUCUGAGACUGGUGAGCUUGAGUGCAGGAGAGGAACGCGGAAUUCCAGGUGUAGCGGUGAAAUGCGUAGAUAUCUGGAGGAACACCGGUGGCGAAGGCGGCGUUCUGGACUGCAACUGACACUGAGGAACGAAAGCCAGGGGAGCAAACGGG
rnacentral:rRNA from 1 species